UAGAGGAAGUAUAGCUUCAGGGAUUUCUCAGGGAAACCAGGGAAGUAAAGGUGGGAACUCGGAGGGAAGGAUCAAGGAGUUAGAUGGAAUGUACCUGGGUCAUCUGAGUCCAGUGGCAAGAAAUAUAUCGGGAAGACCAGUGAUGGCCCCAGAUGAAGUGGGGAGACCUUGGAUAAAUCACCAGCACCCUGAGCAAAAGAAAACUUUAAGAGGAUCCUUUUUGCUCUGACUUCUAAUCCCAUGAAACUUGGUGGAGUUCUGAGUAUUUAUUCAAGGGUCCAGGAUCAAUUCAACCCUGAUGGUCCCCGUUUAACAAGGCCAGGUGGAGAGCAAGAGGAAAAAACAAAACAAAACAAAAAGCAACCUCUUCCUUCUCAGGGGAUUUACAAAUUCAACAAGCCUGAAGUUAACCAGCUCCAUCGUGAAAUUAA